rnacentral:misc_RNA from 1 species
GAAAUGCGAUAAGUAAUGUGAAUUGCAGAAUUCAGUGAAUCAUCGAAUCUUUGAACGCACCUUGCGCUCCUUGGUAUUCCUUGGAGCAUGCCUGUUUGAGUAUCAUGAAAUCUUCAAAGUAAAUCUUUUGUUAACUCAAUUGGUUUCUACUUUGGUAUUGGAGGUCUUUGCAGCUUCACACCUGCUCCUCUUUGUUCAUUAGCUGGAUCUCAGUGUUAUGCUUGGUUCCACUCGGCGUGAUAAGUUAUCUAUCGCUGAGGACACUGUAAAAGGUGGCCAAGGUAAAUGCAGAUGAACCGCUUCUAAUAGUCCAUUGACUUGUACAAUACUUUUAUGAUCUGAUCUCAAAUCAGGUAGGACUACCCGCUGAACUUAAGC